UCCACCUGCUGGUGUCCUUAGAGGAGAAAGGAGUCACACCGAAAGGUAGGGUAAGGAAGCCACAUGAAGAUGCAGGCGCGGGCAGGAGUUAUUGCUCCAAGUCCAGGAGAACCUGGAGUCUUGGUAGCUGACGGAGGCCAGAAGACUCUCAGGAGAGUGUGGUCCUCUUGAUACCCUGAUGUGGGGCUUCUGGCCUCUAGAACUGUGCGAGCACAAAUUUGCAUUGUUUUCAGCCUCCAAGUUGUGCUCAUUUGUUACAGCAGUCUUAGGAAAUGAACGUGAUGUCAAACCAACAGGAAGCAUGUGACCAGGAUGGGAAGGAUUGUGAUGAUGUAAUAGUUACCUGCCAUACAGGAAGCAAACAAAUACAGGUGAUGGUUAUUAAUACAUAUUAUUAGGUGGAGAGCAGGAAGGCCAACGUGGUUGUAAUCUACUUUGCUGAUUCUUCAUGGAAAGCACUGCAAAUUACUUAAAUAAUUUAUGGUACAGAAUUGAUGCUAGAGAAGCAAACAAAGGUGAUUAAGAUCUAUUUGCUACUCAGUAUUAGUUGAGCUAGCACUUGUUUGAAUAUUAGAGUUUCUGGAUGACUUUUUAGGAAGUGAGCGCCACAGGACUUUAAAGGAAUUAUAACUAUAAAUGCAGCAGAGACACAAAUGGGUAAGGAGUGACAAGGAUUGUGGCACAUGUGAGACCCACACUCCAUCUCCUGGGAAAGCUGCUGUGGGGCAGUGGCUUCAACAGUGCAGGAAUGCAAAGUCAACUCUGCAGGAAUGCAUAGCCAAUUCUCUCUUCCAAGUUUUCAAGAGAAGGCAGAAAUGUAGAAGACUUUUUUUUUUUUUUCACAAAGUGUCCAGAAGUUGGCAAUGAAUUCAAGCAUUGUUUUAAAACACUGUCCAGGCCACAACACCUUGUCUGCAGGCUAGAGCUGACCAUGGGUCACCAGCCUGGGUGGCGCUGGAAUGGAGACAUCAUUAACACAUUCAAGAAGCACCAAGAUAUGUGGUCAACUUGAGAGCUGAAACGAUGAUAGAACAUUGCAGAAAGUUUGUCGAAUGUGGUCCAAAUUAUUUUAAUAUCCCAUAUAGUCUAUUUUCAUGAACUAUCAGUUAAUGUUUGGAAAGAGCUCACCUAGCAUAUUUUAAUUCCAUUGUCCUUCAACUCAUUCUGUAUUCAGUUCCUCUGAGUCUGUUUUCAACCUUGGCCUCCCGAGGACACAGCCUGAGAAGUUUCUAAGUCAGCUCCGUGCUCCUCACCAUCCUUUGCAUGGCAUCAGCUGGAGAGAGCCCUGUAGCUCAGCAGGCAGAUGGCAGUAAGAAAUUAACUUGAACUUCAGCAAGGCUGAGGUUUCCCUGGCAACAGAGGAAGCAGCCAUCCUGCCUGGUUUGAACUGCAUAGGAAACAGGCUCCCUUGUCAGCAUAGCUCACACGCAUUUCAUUUUUCCCUCGUCAAGUGCUUUAACUUCAGUUAAUAGCAGGACAAUACGCGAUACGUGCUUAAACAGGUUAAUGUGUCUGUGACUGUCAGAUACAGAAGAGAAGGCGUAAACCUCUCUGCUAAAAGCUGAAAAUCAUUAGUAAGCUUUAGUAGUCUCCAUCACAAAAUCCGUUUUCUUUACGAGGUAAACUUGACAUGCAGAAAAAUCAUUUUAAUUUUCUGGGCCAUUAAGAAUGCCUGGUCUUUUGACAUUUAAAUAAAGUCAAAUUUUCCAUCAAGGUGGGUUUCUUUUAGGAAUAAGAUAGGCCAUGAAAGGUUUUUGGUCUGAAUUUCCAGGCCGUGGAUUGAUCCGUGAGGAAUAAGCCACCCUGAAGAGCACCAUAGCCUUCCAAAUUAAUGAGUGCAGAGAGUUGAUCUCACUUGAGACUGGCUCUCAUUCAGACACAGAUUAAGGAAGAAGCUAAGGAAGCUUAAGCUUCCUGUUCCCACAUUGGAAUUGGCCUCUUCUGGCCCCUGGCUGGGCGGAAGGGGGUGUGGGUAUGGAAUCUUUCAGAAUGUCCACAUGGCCAUAUAUUAUUAUAACAUUUAUAAAAUGUGUACUUUAAAAUAUAGUUCUAAAUUUUUAAAUUAAAUUCUUUGUAGUAUGGUGGCGGGGCAGGGGAGUGGAAGAGAAACAGAGAGAGCUCCCCUUUGCUAAUUCAUUCUCCAAAUUCCUGCAGUGGCCAGGCAUGGACUGGCCCCAAACUGGGAAUUGGAAACUCAAUCCUGGUCUCCCAAUCACUUGAGUCAAUACCUAUGCCUCCCAGGGUUUCCAUUAGCAGGGAGCUGGAUUCAGGAGGUGGAACCAGGGGACCCUCAGUUGUGGGAAGUGGGCAUCCUUCCCAGUGUAUUACUCAUUGGAUGAUAUGUCUGCUUCUAGCAUUUACCAACCUCCAGACCCUGCUUCCAGCUUCCUCCUAAGGUAGAUCCUGGGAGGCAGUGAUGAGAGCUCAAGCAGUUGGAUCCCUGCUGUCCACAAGGGAGAUACCAAUUGAGUUCCCAGCGCCUGGCUCUGACUCUGGUUCUGCCUUGUCCUAGCAGUUGUGGGUGUUUGGGAAGGGAAGCAGCAGAUAAGAGUUCUCUGUCCUUCUACAUGACUCUCUGCUUCUCAAAUAAAUAAAGACUUUUUUAAGAAAUGGCAGUUCUAGGGCAGGCAUUGUGGUGCAGCAGGUUAAGCCACCUCUUGGCAUCCUUACAUCCCAUAUCAGAAGGCUUAUUUAAAUCCUGGCUAUUCUGCUUCCUGUCCAACUUCCUGCCAAUGCAUCCUGGGUGGCAGUAGGCGGUGGCUCAAGUGCUUGGUCCUCUGCCACCCAUAUGAGAGAUCCAGAUGGAGUUCCACGCUUCUGGCUCCAGGCUGGACCGGCCAGGCACUGGGGGAAUGAACCAGCGGAUAGAAGAUCUCUCUGUCACUCUCUCUGUUGCUCUGCCUUUCAAGUAGAUGAAAUGAAUCAACAUUAAAAAAGGAAGUUCUUGCUAAUCAAGAACACUCUUGAUAAUGCAACAUAUAUAAUUAUAAACAUAUAUUUCAUUUUAUAGGAAUUGUGUAAUAUAGAAUUUAUAAAAAUUCCUAUGGUUAAUUUCUAGAUGAAAGUAUUUUGAAUGUUUUUACUGCAAAGAAAUGAUAAAUGUCUGAGGCCACAGAUAUGUGUAUCCUGAUUUGACUCUUGUACAGUGUAUACUUGUUUCAAAACAUUUCAUGGUGCCCUAUAAAUAUGCAUAAUUUCGCACCAAUUAAAGCAUGAUGAGAAUAAUUUUUAAACUAAAAAUUCACUGAAAAUGGAAAGAUAAAAAUGUUCCUGCUGAAUUAAAAUGACAAGCUAAUAAAGAUGAAGGAAGCAUGAAAUUUGAUACCCAGCCAUCACAAGACCACUGCUGACACACUGGUUAAAUGAGAAAUGUCUAUUCAAAGAGCUUAAGGAUGAAUCACUGCUAUAGUGCCUGAAACACAGGAAACUUGAAAAGCUGGUACAAAUUUUAUAGCUCUUAUGAAAGAGCUUAUGCUACAAGUUUUCCCAAAUUGGACAACAACCUUGCAAAUUUGUAUCACAUUAUCAAUAACUGCUGUCUGACAGUUUGUAUGCUCUCUAAAUUCCCCUGUUAAUGACUGACUCUCAAGAUGGCUGGGUUCAGGGGUAGGACCUUUGGGAGGUGAGGGGCCAUGAGGGCUCUGCCCUUGUGUGUGGGAUCAGUGCCCUUAUAAAAGAAACCUGUGGCAUCUCGUUCACCCCUUCUGCCAUGUGAGCACACAUCGAGACACCACCUCUUGGGAGCAGGUCUACACUAGACAUUGAACCUGCUGAUGCCUUAAGGUGGGAUUUCCCAGCUUCCCGGACUGCAAGCAAUAAUACAUUUCUGCGUUUAAGAUAUUCUGUUGUACAUGCCCGAAUGGAAUUAGACAACGAUAAACUGUGAAGGUAAAAGAAACUUUUUGAACCAUCAGUAACAGCAACAACAACAACAACAACAACAACAAAAUCAAGAUUUUUUUCGGGACCAGCGUUGUGAUGCAGCAAGUUAAACUUUCACUUAAUGCUGGUAUCCCAUAUUUCAGUGCCUGUUCCGAGUCACAGCUGCUGUGCUUCUGAUCCAGCUUCCUGCUAAUGUGCCUGGGAAAACAGUGGAAGACGGUCCAAGUGCUUGGGCUUCUGCCAUCCACCUGGGAAAUCUGGAUGGAGUUCCUUGCUCCUGGCUUCAAUCUGGACCCAUCCUAGCUGUUGUGACCAUUUGGGAUCUCUUUUUCUUCUCUCUCUUCCUACCCUGUUACUCUGCCUUUCAAAUAAAUAAAAAAUAAAUCUUAAAAAAAAAAA